GCUGAUGUAGCUCAGUAGGUAGAGCACAUCCUUGGUAAGGAUGAGGUCGCGGGUCCGAGUCCCGCCAUCAGCUCCA
rnacentral:tRNA from 1 species